CCCUUAGAUGUUCUGGGCCGCACACGCGCUACACUGAAGGAGGCAGCGUGUACUCCUGGAUCGAAAGAUUUGGGUAACCCGCGAAUCUCCUUCGUGCUAGGGAUUGAGGUUUGCAAUUAUCCUUCAUGAACGAGGAAUUCCCAGUAAGUGCAAGUCAUAAGCUUGCGCUGACUACGUCCCUGCCCUUUGUACACACCGCCCGUCGCUACUACCGAUUGAAUGAUUUAGUGAGGACUUCGGACUGGGACCGGUGCGGCUUUCGGGCUGCGUCGGUAUUCUGGAAAGAUGUCCAAACUGUAUCAUUUAGAGGAAGUAAAAGUCGUANCA
rnacentral:rRNA from 1 species